UUUCAAAKGAUUUGGUUUGUUUGACAGUGAACCACAGCAGCUGAAAUGUAACAAGUGCUGCAGUUUUGGUCCCAAUCGAACCGAGUCUACUGGACUAUCAGAUUCAAUGGACGGAGGCGGAUACAACCUGGACAAGUCUUCACUCAGCACUCAUUCUCCCUGAAAAGACGGGGGCUGAAAUACCUGAGCAGAUAGUUGAUGGAGCUGUAAGGAGCMGAAAUGCCUGAGAACGUCGGGUCGCUGUCAGCUCCGGCUUCCUGUCGAGAAACGAUUGCGCCUCAGCAGAUCCAUGUGGUUCGGCUCAUCAUCAAAGCAAGACGAGUCCAAACUGCAACAAUCAAUCAGAUCUGCAAAGAGAUCCGUUUCUGCACCUUAGAGGUGAGGAACAGAGUAGCUAAUAUCUCUGCAGACCCCGCACAUCCUGGACACAAACUCUUUAGACUUUUGCCUUCAGGUGCUACACUGCGUUGUUUGCAGCCUCCACAGAGACAGUUUUUUUCCACCUGUCUGUCUCUCUGAUGAACACCAAACAAUUUUGUUUUGUCUUUUACAAAAACAGUGACGCUUUACAUAUCUGCAAAAAGUUGAAGUUAUAUUCCCUGUUUGUGUGCAAGGACAUGACAAAAAGCUAAAUCUGAACUUUAAUGUAUUUAUUUUAUGUGUUAGAGCAACAUAAAGUAGAGCAUAAUUGUAAAGUAGUAUCAGAUAAAAAAAGAGUAAAUUGUCAGUUGAUGGUAAUCAGGAUAAGCUGUAAAGCUAAUAAUCUCUGAUGAAUCAGUGCUUACGUAAAUGCUCUUCUUUUUKGUUUUUGAUCAAUAAGUUUCUGUUUCCUUAAGAAAAAUCUGACUGUUUUAAUAUUGUAUGCUUAAUUCAUUGUGAAGUAUGUAAACAAGWCCACAAUAUAAUUAUUUUGUGAUUUUAAAAUCACAUUUUUAGCCCAAAAAGUCUGGUUGGCAUGACGAUUUUGGCUGAUAAUAUGUGGACUCCCAUCACAUCCUGGUUAAAAUAUAAUACUACUUAAAAAAAACACUACAGUCAAUUAAAUGCUUUAGUCAAAUAUUAUAUUUUUAUUUGACUCUUUUGUGUAAAUGCUUGRUCAAACAGAAACCCGUAUGUACAAAACAAAACUUGCUUGGGCACAAAAUUCUUAAAAUAAUUGUGGAUCCUUCAGAUUGCAGCGCACAACUUACAAAAUAAAAUGAAAUUUUAUCAACAAAAGCAUGGACGGGGCAUGAGAGAAAAAUAAUUGGCUGCURUAAGAAGAGAUUGAAGCUGUGGGUGGGUUUUUGAAAAGAAUGUACAGUGGCAGCCAGCUGUUAACAGCUGGACGUGUUUCAGGCCAGAAUAUAAAAGACGCCCGGCUGCUAGAGACUUAUUACAAUGAACGCCACACUACUGAGCUUUAAAAGGUCGGCUAGCAGCUAUGCCUACCGUAGAUACAUCAAGGCUAAUUAAAAUAUAAUUAAUAUCUCUAAGACUGAGCUGACACAAUAAUUCAGGAGCUCCAUCAGCUUUUCAAAURCAGCAGGGGAGAUGUUGAACCAGCAUACCUUCAUUAUCAGACAAUAACCUUUUACAACUGGAACACACUUUUAGCAAAAUUGUUGAAUUAUGGUUAUUAUCCUUCUGAAAAUUGUGUCUGUGUUUGGCCACAUUCAGGCCAGGACUUGGAGAAAUCAGGACAUUCUGACCUGUUGCUCUGUAGGGUAAGACGGUAGACCCAGUUUUCCAGAACUGGGGCGCAGAUAGACCCAAAAAUAGUGAAAAAUACAAGCAGAUUUGCAUCAGCAGAGUCCCGGUGGCUUUGCACUGAGAGCCUUUGCAUAUGCCUGAUUCUGCAGCCAGAGCAGGAAGUGRAUUGUUUCAUUAUGACUCAAGCAGAGCUGCAUGGUGRUGUGCUGGUUGGUAAGCAGUUUCCCUCCAGAAACUAAAGCUGAGUUUUAAGUCUGAGCCCAUUUGGACCUGUCCCUGUCAGUUUACAUGUUUUCCCCCUGCAGGUGUGUCUUUCUGCUCCUCCACAAACACACCUGGCAAUGCGAACGUUGCCUUGCUGCACCCUGACUUCAGCCUGAAAAGUCUGCAAAAACCCAUGAGAGGAAUCCGAAAGUUAAUUAGAUACUUGGGUCAAAGUUAAUAACAUGAUUCUGUCUGAAGUGGGCUCAGUAAAGUUUGUUCAGCAGAAUAUGAAAUUAUGUGAUAAAAUUCAAAUUGUUACAAGGCCAGACGGUCGUUAUUCUACAAUUUUUAGCAGGUGGAAAUGUAACCAGACUGAAACUCUCUUUUUAGAAUUUACCAGAUUUCUUAACAAAUUAUUGACUUUAUAUUUUUACUCAC